rnacentral:rRNA from 1 species
AUACGAAAGGUGCAAGCGUUGUUCGGAUUUACUGGGCGUAAAGAGAUCGUAGGUGGUUUGUUAAGUUGGAUGCGAAAUCCCGGGGCUCAACCUCGGAACUGCAUCCAAAACUGGCAGACUUGAGUUCGGGAGGGGUAAGCGGAAUUCCGUGUGUAGCAGUGAAAUGCGUAGAUAUACGGAGGAACACCUGAGGCGAAGGCGGCUUACUGGACCGAUACUGACACUGAGGAUCGAAAGCGUGGGUAGCAAACAGGAUUAGAAACCCUAGUAGUCC